UCUGGGUGCAAACUUGACCUCUUUUCUCACAUUCUCUUUGAUUCUUCCCCUCUCUGCUUCCCUUUCUUCUUCAAUCCAUCACUCGUACGUAGAAGAAAAAAGGAGGAGAAGAUGGCCCAGAUAAAUAAAGGUCAAGCAUCGACGCAUGAAGAAGACAAACUUAUACAUCAGUUAGCCACCCAAGACCUCCCACAAGAUGCCUCAAAGCUAAUUGGUCGUGUUACUCACGAUAAACUUUGUGACACUGUACAUGAGAAAGUACUAAACAUUGAUGGUGAUAGAGAGGAAGAUCUCUUCACUAUUCCUGCAGCAGAUUAUGAGAUCCGACAACCACGCAAGUGAAGACUUUAACUGCUGAGUGAAGUCUUCUGGCAAGUUUUCUUGAGUGAUGUAAGCGAGAGUAGUGGAUCCCAUGUCCUACUUUCACUACGAUCUGUAAGCCUGUAAAUAAAUUAUGCAGAAGCUUUUGUUUGAUCCAAAGUAACCUCUGAUUGUGACAUGUAACGAUUUUUAUGAAAUCUAAUUUAAAAUGUA